rnacentral:rRNA from 1 species
UGGCGACGAGUGGCGAACGGGUGAGUAAAGCAUCGGAACGUGCCCAGUAGUGGGGGAUAGCCCGGCGAAAGCCGGAUUAAUACCGCAUACGACCUAAGGGUGAAAGCGGGGGACCGAAAGGCCUCGCGCUAUUGGAGCGGCCGAUGUCAGAUUAGGUAGUUGGUGGGGUAAAGGCCUACCAAGCCGACGAUCUGUAGCUGGUCUGAGAGGACGACCAGCCACACUGGGACUGAGACACGGCCCAGACUCCUACGGGAGGCAGCAGUGGGGAAUUUUGGACAAUGGGCGCAAGCCUGAUCCAGCCAUGCCGCGUGCGGGAAGAAGGCCUUCGGGUUGUAAACCGCUUUUGUCGGGGAGGAAACGCUCUGGGUUAAUACCCUGGGGUAAUGACGGUACCCGAAGAAUAAGCACCGGCUAACUACGUGCCAGCAGCCGCGGUAAUACGUAGGUGCAAGCGUUAAUCGGAAUUACUGGGCGUAAAGCGUGCGCAGGCGGUUGUGCAAGACAGAUGUGAAAUCCCCGGGCUUAACCUGGGAACUGCAUUUGUGACUGCACGGCUAGAGUGCGGCAGAGGGGGAUGGAAUUCCGCGUGUAGCAGUGAAAUGCGUAGAUAUGCG